rnacentral:tRNA from 1 species
GUGGCUCCAUGGUAGAGUAUCUGCUUGGCAUGCAGAAGGUCCCAGGUUCAAUCCCCAUCAUCUCCA